rnacentral:rRNA from 1 species
GACAGAGGGUGCAAACGUUGUUCGGAAUUACUGGGCGUAAAGCGCGUGUAGGCUGUCGUGCAAGUCGGGUGUGAAAGCCCAGGGCUCAACCCUGGAAGUGCACUCGAAACUGCAAGACUUGAAUCUCGGAGAGGGUAGCGGAAUUCUGGGUGUAGAGGUGAAAUUCGUAGAUAUCCAGAGGAACACCGGUGGCGAAGGCGGCUACCUGGACGAGUAUUGACGCUGAGACGCGAAAGUGCGGGGAGGAAACAGG